rnacentral:rRNA from 1 species
AUUGAACGCUGGCGGCAUGCCUUACACAUGCAAGUCGAACGGCAGCGCGGGCUUCGGCCUGGCGGCGAGUGGCGGACGGGUGAGUAAUGCAUCGGAACGUGCCCAGGAGUGGGGGAUAACGUAGCGAAAGUUACGCUAAUACCGCAUACGUACUGAGGUAGAAAGCGGGGGAUCGAAAGACCUCGCGCUCAUGGAGCGGCCGAUGUCGGAUUAGCUAGUUGGCGGGGUAAAAGCCCACCAAGGCGACGAUCCGUAGCUGGUCUGAGAGGACGACCAGCCACACUGGGACUGAGACACGGCCCAGACUCCUACGGGAGGCAGCAGUGGGGAAUCUUGGACAAUGGGGGAAACCCUGAUCCAGCAAUGCCGCGUGUGGGAUGAAGGCCCUCGGGUUGUAAGCCACUUUUGGCAGGAAAGAAAUCGCCUGUGCUAAUACCACGGGCGGAUGACGGUACCUGCAGAAUAAGCACCGGCUAACUACGUGCCAGCCGCCGCCGUAA